rnacentral:rRNA from 1 species
AGAGUUUGAUCCUGGCUCAGGAUGAUUGCUGGCGGCGUGCCUAACACAUGCAAGUCGAGCGGAGCCAUAUGUUGAUUCUUCGGAUGAUUUAUAUGACUUAGCGGCGGAUGGGUGAGGAACGCGUGGAUAACCUGCCUCGCACUGGGGGAUAACAGCUGGAAACGGCUGUUAAUACCGCAUAUGCUCACGGUACCGCAUGGUACAGGGAGGAAAGAUUUAUCGGUGCGAGAUGGAUCCGCGUCGGAUUAGCCAGUUGGCGGGGUAACGGCCCACCAAAGCGAUGAUCCGUAGCCGGCCUGAGAGGGCGACCGGCCACAUUGGGACUGAGACACGGCCCAAGCUCCUACGGGAGGCAGCAGUGGGGGAUAUUGCACAAUGGGCGCAAGCCUGAUGCAGCGACGCCGCGUGAAGGAGGAAGUGCUUCGGCAUGUAAACUUCUAUCAGCAGGGAAGAAAAUGACGGUACCUGACUAAGAAGCCCCGGCUAACUACGUGCCAGCAGCCGCGGUAAUACGUAGGGGGCAAGCGUCAUCCGGAUUUACUGGGUGUAAAGGGAGCGUAGACGGCGUGACAAGUCUGAUGUGAAAACCCGGGGCUCAACUCCGGGAUUGCAUUGGAAACUGUUGUGCUUGAGUACUGGAGGGGUAAGCGGAAUUCCUGGUGUAGCGGUGAAAUGCGUAGAUAUCAGGAAGAACACCGGCGGCGAAGGCGGCUUACUGGACAGUAACUGACGUUGAGGCUCGAAAGCGUGGGGAGCAAACAGGAUUAGAUACCCUGGUAGUCCACGCCCUAAACAAGAAUACUAGG